rnacentral:rRNA from 1 species
UACGGGGGGAGCAAGCGUUGUUCGGAUUUACUGGGCGUAAAGGGCGCGUAGGCGGCCAGCACAAGUCAGUUGUGAAAUCUCCGAGCUUAACUCGGAAAGGUCAACUGAUACUGUGCGGCUAGAGGUGCGGAAGGGGCAACUGGAAUUCUUGGUGUAGCGGUGAAAUGCGCAGAUAUCAGGAGGAACACCGGUGGCGAAGGCGGAUCUCUGGGCCUUGCCUGACGCUGAGACGAGACUGGGGAGCAACAGG